rnacentral:misc_RNA from 1 species
CCAAACUUGGUCAUUUAGAGGAAGUAAAAGUCGUAACAAGGUUUCCGUAGGUGAACCUGCGGAAGGAUCAUUAAAGAUUCGGGCCUCGGCCCUCCUUUUCUUCAGCUGUGCGCUUAGGCUGCACGCUGUCGAUUACACCUCACACCUGUGCACCACUUCGGUCGCGGCGUUCGCGUCGCUUCCGCUUCAUAUUUAACAACAGUUCAGAAUGUACAAACCAUAAACAAAUACAACUUUCAACAACGGAUCUCUUGGCUCUCGCAUCGAUGAAGAACGCAGC